GACGGGGGGGGCAAGUGUUCUUCGGAAUGACUGGGCGGAAAGGGCACGUAGGCGGUGAAUCGGGUUGAAAGUGAAAGUCGCCAAAAAGUGGCGGAAUGCUCUCGAAACCAAUUCACUUGAGUGAGACAGAGGAGAGUGGAAUUUCGUGUGUAGGGGUGAAAUCCGUAGAUCUACGAAGGAACGCCAAAAGCGAAGGCAGCUCUCUGGGUCCCUACCGACGCUGGGGUGCGAAAGCAUGGGGAGCGAACAGG
rnacentral:rRNA from 1 species